GGAGGUUGGCUUAGAAGCAGCCAUCCUUGAAAGAGUGCGUAAUAGCUCACUGGUCGAGUGGUUCUGCGCCGAUAAUGUAGCGGGGCUUAAGUACACCGCCGAAACCGCGGCAACACAUGUAAAGGUGUGUUGGGUAGGGGAGCGUCGUGCAUGUGUUGAAGCUAUUUGGUGACAGGUGGUGGAGUGUGUGCGAGUGAGAAUGCAGGCAUGAGUAACGAUUGAUGUGUGAGAAACAUAUCCGCCGGAUGACUAAGGGUUCCUGGGUGAAGUUUGUCUUCCCAGGGUGAGUCGGGGCCUAAGGCGAGGCCGACAGGCGUAGUCGAUGGAUGACGGGUUGAUAUUCCCGUACCCGUGUGCGUGCGACAAGUGAUGAAUCUUAUGGUACUAACCACCCGCUUGUUUCUGCUGAUCUUUUUGGUUGGUGGUUGCAGGUGCGUGGGAUCUUCGUGGGUAGUAGUCAAGUGAUGGGGUGACGCAGAGUGGUAGCUAGGCUUCCUUAUUGGAUUGGAGUGCAAGCGUGUGGCCUGUGGGGUUGGGAAAUCCGCCCCGCAUAUGAGGUGAGGCGUGAUGCGGACACCAGUUGUGGUGGUAGUUAGUGUGCCUGUGCUGUCUAGAAAAGCCUCUAGCGAGUGCGUGCAUGGCCCGUACCGGAAACCGACACAGGUGGUCAGGUAGAGAAUACUAAGGCGUUCGGGUGAACUGUGGUUAAGGAACUCGGCAAAAUGCCCCCGUAACUUCGGGAGAAGGGGGACCAUUACUGGUUGCUGACAGCGUGAAAGCUGGUGGUGGUCGCAGAGGAGAGAGGGAAGCGACUGUUUAUUAAAAACACAGGUCCGUGCGAAAACGUGGAAGUUGAGGUAUACGGACUGACGCCUGCCCGGUGCUGGAAGGUUAAGAGGACCCGUGAGUGCAUCUUUGUGGUGUGCGAGGCGGAGAAUUGAAGCCCCAGUAAACGGCGGUGGUAACUAUAACCAUCCUAAGGUAGCGAAAUUCCUUGUCGGGUAAGUUCCGACCUGCACGAAUGGCGUAACGACUUCCCUGCUGUCUCAACCACAGGCCCGGUGAAAUUGCAGUACGAGUAAAGAUGCUCGUUUCGCGCGGCAGGACGAAAAGACCCCGGGACCUUUACUAUAGCUUGGUAUUGGUGUUUGGUCAUGCUUGUGUAGGAUAGGUGGGAGACUGUGAAGCUUCAACGCUAGUUGUGGUGGAGUCGCAGGUGAAAUACCACUCUGGUGUGAUUGGGUACCUGAACCUUGGCCCGUGAUCCGGGUUGGGGACAGUGCCUGGUGGGUAGUUUAACUGGGGCGGUUGCCUCCUAAAUGGUAACGGAGGCGCCCAAAGGUUUCCUCAGUCUGGUUGGCAAUCAGAUGGUGAGUGUAAGUGUAUAAGGGAGCUUGACUGUGACACUGACGGGUGGAGCAGGUGCGAAAGCAGGGACUAGUGAUCCGGCACCGACGUGUGGUUGUGGUGUCGCUCAACGGAUAAAAGGUACCCCGGGGAUAACAGGCUGAUCUUCCCCAAGAGUUCAUAUCGACGGGAUGGUUUGGCACCUCGAUGUCGGCUCGUCGCAUCCUGGGGCUGGAGUAGGUCCCAAGGGUUGGGCUGUUCGCCCAUUAAAGCGGCACGCGAGCUGGGUUUAGAACGUCGUGAGACAGUUCGGUCUCUAUCCGCCGCGCGCGU
rnacentral:rRNA from 1 species